GGGAUAAGAAAGGCAACACAUUUACUAAAAUCGGAACGAUAGAGAGAAGACUAGCAUAGCCCCUGCACAAGGAUGACACACAAAUUUAUAAAGUGUUCCCUAUUUUU